GCUGGGCGUGGUGGCGCACGCCUGUAAUCCCAGCUACUCUGGAGGCUGAGGCAUGAGAAUCGCUUGAACCCGGGAGGCAGAUGGUGAUUGCAGUGAGCGGAGAUCACGCCAUUGCACUCCAUCCUGGGUGACAGAGUGAUACUCCGUCUCAA
rnacentral:SRP_RNA from 1 species